rnacentral:rRNA from 1 species
AACGAACGCUGGCGGCAUGCCUAACACAUGCAAGUCGAACGAAGGCUUCGGCCUUAGUGGCGCACGGGUGCGUAACGCGUGGGAAUCUGCCCUUGGGUUCGGAAUAACUCAGAGAAAUUUGAGCUAAUACCGGAUGAUGACGUAAGUCCAAAGAUUUAUCGCCCAAGGAUGAGCCCGCGUAAGAUUAGCUAGUUGGUGGGGUAAAGGCCUACCAAGGCGACGAUCUUUAGCUGGUCUGAGAGGAUGAUCAGCCACACUGGGACUGAGACACGGCCCAGACUCCUACGGGAGGCAGCAGUGGGGAAUAUUGGACAAUGGGCGAAAGCCUGAUCCAGCAAUGCCGCGUGAGUGAUGAAGGCCUUAGGGUUGUAAACUGCUUUUGUACGGAACGAAAAAGCUCUCUCUAAUACAGGGGGUGAAUGACGGUACCGUAAGAAUAAGCACCGGCUAACUACGUGCCAGCAGCCGCGGUAAAGUCG